UACAGCCGUAUCACAUCGAAACACUGGUUCCUGUAUAAUCAGCAAAGUUAAGCAAUGUUGAGUCUGAUCAAUACCUAGAUGAGUGACCACUUGGGAAUACCAGGUGUUGUAAG